CAAGAAGAGAAGAAGAAGAGGCGCAGCAGCAUGGCGGGGAGGUGGAGAUCAGAGGAAAUAUUUCAUCUCCGUCACCAACAGUGAGUUCAGUUCAGGCUUUGUGAGAGUUUUUCAUCGAGGGACUAACUGCUGCUGCUGCUGGAGGAAUCUUCACCAUGUUUGAACAAACUACCAAUCAUUACAAGGAGGAGAUUGAUCGUCAGCGCAGACUGCUGAAGAUGAUCGGGGAACCUCAAGUGAAGUUACACAGAACAGAGCUCCUACAACAGCAUGGCUGUCGGGAGGAACAGCUCUUCAAACAGGAAGAGCAGGAUGAACCAGAACCUCCACAGAUCAAAGAGGAAGAAGAACCAGGACUUCUACAAGUUAAAGAGGAGCAGGAGGAGCCAGAAACUCCAAAGACCAAAGAGGAAGAAGAAGAAGA